CCUACGGGAGGCAGCAGUGAGGAAUAUUGGUCAAUGGGCGCGAGCCUGAACCAGCCAAGUAGCGUGAGGGAUGACUGUCCUACGGGUUGUAAACUUCUUUUAUAAAGGAAUAAAGUGAGGCACGUGUGCCUUUUUGUAUGUAUUUUAUGAAUAAGGAUCGGCUAACUCCGUGCCAGCAGCCGCGGUAAUACGGAGGAUCCGAGCGUUAUCCGGAUUUAUUGGGUUUAAAGGGAGCGUAGAUGGGUUGUUAAGUCAGUUGUGAAAGUUUGCGGCUCAACCGUAAAAUUGCAAUUGAUACUGGCAGCCUUGAGUACAGUUGAGGUAGGCGGAAUUCGUGGUGUAGCGGUGAAAUGCUUAGAUAUCACGAAGAACUCCGAUUGCGAAGGCAGCCUACUAAGCCGUGACUGACGUUGAUGCACGAAAGUGUGGGUAUCAAACAGGAUUAGAUACCCUAGUAGUC
rnacentral:rRNA from 1 species